AUAUCAGUCAUGCAUAGCAUAUCAAUAAGCGGAGGAAAAGAAACUAACAAGGAUUCCCUUAGUAACGGCGAGUGAAGCGGGAAGAGCUCAAAUUUGAAAUCUUCAAGGUUCUACCUUGACGAAUUGUAGUUUAAAGAAGUGUUUUCUGUUAGUGGAGCGGCAAAAGUUCUUUGGAAUAGGACAUCAUAGAGGGUGAGAAUCCCGUAUUUGGUCAUUCCUUCUAGCUUUGUGAUACACUUUCAAAGAGUCGGAUUGUUUGGGAAUGCAGUCCAAAAUGGGUGGUAAAUUUCAUCUAAAGCUAAAUAUUGGCGAGAGACCGAUAGCGAACAAGUACCGUGAGGGAAAGAUGAAAAGAACUUUGAAAAGAGAGUUAAACAGUACGUGAAAUUGUCAAAAGGGAAGCGUUUGACACCAGUGUUGUUUAGUUGAAAAUCAAUUCAAUAAUUUUUGAUUUUGAGUAGUAUUGACUUCAUCAGCUUGCUGCUUUCUUUUCAGAAAUUAUUGAAUGCACUUUUCAGUUAACAAGUCAACAUCAAUUUCUUUUGUUGUAAAAGGGUAAGAGGAAGGUGGCUUACGCUUCGGCGUAAGUGUUUAUAGCCUUUUACCUCUGCAAUCGGAGAGAUUGAGGACAGCAGCGUAGACUCUUCGGGGUUAGAUACACUUGUGCUAAGCUAUAGCCUUGUAUAGACAACUUGUUGACUAUGCUCAGUCAUGUAGCUUACUCGCUUGUGCUAUUUUACCUACGCUUAGGAUGUUGAUCUCUCACAGUCGAGC
rnacentral:rRNA from 1 species